GGCGGGGACUGAGCCCUAGGCCGGCGACGAGAAACUUCUGGGGGCGGGAGGGGGAGGGGGAGGAAAGAGGCUCCCCCGCCCCCCUCGUCACCGCCGCCCCCCGCCCGCAGCCGGGGAGCGAGGUGGGGGGCGGGGAGAGGUGGGCAGCCGGACCCGGCUGGUGGGGAAGGCAGUCUAAGCUGCGUUGUGACUGGGAAAACAGUUGAGGCUGGGAUCCUGCGAGCAUGAAGAACAUCAGAAGAGGAAGCUGCUGUUCCAGUGUCUUCCUUCCCGCCUAAGGAUGCAGAUAGGAGACACUGAUGAGCGGAGAUGGCGCAAAUGGUGUCUCAUCAUGGGUGAGCGUGGAGGGAGACAUCCUGGCAGAGACUGCAUUAGUUUUCAAAAGAGCUUUGUUGGGGCUGGCGCUGUGGCAUAGUGGGUAAAGCCUGCAAUGCCGACAUCCCAUAUGGGCACGAGUUCUAGUCCUGGCUGCUGCACCUCCAAUCCAGCUCUCUGCUGUGGCCUGGGAAAGCAGUAGAAGAUGGCCUGAGUCCUUGGGCCCCUGCACCUGCGUGGAAGACCCAGAAGAAGCUCCUGGCUCCUGGCUUCGGAUAUGUGCAGCUCUGGCGGUUGCGGCCAACUGGGGAGUGAAUCAUUGGAUGGACGACCUCUCUCUCUCUCUCUCUGCCUCUCUUUCUCUUUGUGUGUAACUCUGACUUUCAAAUAAAUAAUUAAAAAAUAAAUCUUUUUAAGCCGGCGCCGUGGCUCAAUAGGCUAAUCCUCCACCUUGCGGCGCCGGCACACCGGGUUCUAGUCCCGGUUGGGGCGCCGGAUUCUGUCCCGGUUGCCCCUCUUCCAGGCCAGCUCUCUGCUAUGGCCAGGGAGUGCAGUGGAGGAUGGCCCAGGUGCUUGGGCCCUGCACCCCAUGGGAGACCAGGAAAAGCACCUGGCUCCUGGCUCCUGCCAGGAUCAGCGCGGUGCGCCGGCUGCAGCGGCGGCCAUUGGAGGGUGAACCAGCGGCAAAGGAAGACCUUUCUCUCUCUGU